rnacentral:rRNA from 1 species
GCCUUUCGGGGUCACGAGCGGCGAACGGGUGAGUAACACGUGGGUGAUCUGCCCUGCACUUCGGGAUAAGCCUGGGAAACUGGGUCUAAUACCGGAUAUGACCUCCUAUCGCAUGGUGGGUGGUGGAAAGAUUUAUCGGUGCAGGAUGGGCCCGCGGCCUAUCAGCUUGUUGGUGGGGUAAUGGCCUACCAAGGCGACGACGGGUAGCCGACCUGAGAGGGUGACCGGCCACACUGGGACUGAGACACGGCCCAGACUCCUACGGGAGGCAGCAGUGGGGAAUAUUGCACAAUGGGCGAAAGCCUGAUGCAGCGACGCCGCGUGAGGGAUGACGGCCUUCGGGUUGUAAACCUCUUUCAGCAGGGACGAAGCGCAAGUGACGGUACCUGCAGAAGAAGCACCGGCUAACUACGUGCCAGCAGCCGCGGUAAUACGUAGGUGCAAGCGUUG